AGUGAACGCUAGCGGUGCGCCUAAUACAUGCAAGUCGAGCGACUCUUCGAGAGGAGCGGCGAACGGCUGCGUAACACGUUGGAACCUACCCCGAACUCAGGGAUACCCUCGCGAAAGCGAGGUUAAUACCGGAUAGUCUCGCAAGAGUAAAGAUUUUUCGGUUCGGGAGGGGCCUGCGGCCUAUCAGCUUGUUGGUAAGGUAAAAGCUUACCAAGGCAAUGACGGGUAGCUGGUUUGAGAGAACGACCAGCCAGAAUGGGACUGAGACACGGCCCAUACUCCUACGGGAGGCAGCAGUAAGGAAUCUUCCGCAAUGGGCGAAAGCCUGACGGAGCGACACCGCGUGGAGGAUGACACUCUUUUUGAGCGUAAACUCCUGUUCUGAGGGACGAAAUUUUUGACGGUACCUCAGAAGAAAGCACCGGCUAAUUCCG
rnacentral:rRNA from 1 species